rnacentral:rRNA from 1 species
GACGGACGCUGGCGGCGUGCCUAAUACAUGCAAGUCGAACGCUUCUUUCCUCCCGAGUGCUUGCACUCAAUUGGAAAGAGGAGUGGCGGACGGGUGAGUAACACGUGGGUAACCUACCCAUCAGAGGGGGAUAACACUUGGAAACAGGUGCUAAUACCGCAUAACAGUUUAUGCCGCAUGGCAUAAGAGUGAAAGGCGCUUUCGGGUGUCGCUGAUGGAUGGACCCGCGGUGCAUUAGCUAGUUGGUGAGGUAACGGCUCACCAAGGCCACGAUGCAUAGCCGACCUGAGAGGGUGAUCGGCCACACUGGGACUGAGACACGGCCCAGACUCCUACGGGAGGCAGCAGUAGGGAAUCUUCGGCAAUGGACGAAAGUCUGACCGAGCAACGCCGCGUGAGUGAAGAAGGUUUUCGGAUCGUAAAACUCUGUUGUUAGAGAAGAACAAGGACGUUAGUAACUGAACGUCCCCUGACGGUAUCUAACCAGAAAGACACGGCUAACUACGUG